AUUGAACGCUGGCGGCAUGCUUUACACAUGCAAGUCGAACGGUAACAGGCCUUCGGGUGCUGACGAGUGGCGAACGGGUGAGUAAUGCAACCGAACGUACCCAGAGGUGGGGGAUAACGCAGCGAAAGCUGUGCUAAUACCGCAUGUGAUCUGAGGAUGAAAGCGGGGGACCGAGCAGCAAUGUUUGGCCUCGCGCCUUUGGAGCGGCCGAUGUCGGAUUAGCUAGUUGGUGGGGUAAAGGCCUACCAAGGCGACGAUCCGUAGCUGGUCUGAGAGGACGACCAGCCACACUGGGACUGAGACACGGCCCAGACUCCUACGGGAGGCAGCAGUGGGGAAUUUUGGACAAUGGGCGCGAGCCUGAUCCAGCAAUGCCGCGUGCGGGAAGAAGGCCUUCGGGUUGUAAACCGCUUUUGGCAGGAACGAAACGGUGUCCGCUAAUACCGGGCGCUAAUGACGGUACCUGCAGAAUAAGCACCGGCUAACUACGUG
rnacentral:rRNA from 1 species